rnacentral:rRNA from 1 species
CCUACGGGUGGCUGCAGUGGGGAAUAUUGCGCAAUGGGCGAAAGCCUGACGCAGCGACGCCGCGUGAGGGAUGAAGGUCUUCGGAUCGUAAACCUCUGUCAGUAGGGAAGAUCAUGCCCUGUGCUAACCAGCAGUGAAUUGACGGUACCUUCCAAGGAACCACCGUCUAACGCCGUGCCAGCAGCCUCGGUAAUACGGAGGGUGCUAGCGUUAAUCGGAAUUACUGGGCGUAAAGCGCUCGUAGGCGGUAUGGCAAGUCAAGGGGGAAAUCCCCGCGCUUAACGUGAGAACUGCCUUUGAAACUGUCAAACUGGAGUGUGUGAGAGGAUAGUGGAAUUCCAGGUGUAGGAGUGAAAUCCGUAGAUAUCUAGAGGAACAUCAGUGGCGAAGGCGACUAUCUGGCACAUAACUGACGCUGAGGAGCGAAAGCGUGGGUAGCAAACAGGAUUAGAUACCCUUGUAGUC